rnacentral:rRNA from 1 species
UACGGAGGGGGCUAGCGUUGUUCGGAAUUACUGGGCGUAAAGCGCGCGUAGGCGGCUUUGUAAGUUAGAGGUGAAAGCCCGGAGCUUAACUCCGGAACUGCCUUUAAGACUGCAUCGCUAGAAUCGUGGAGAGGUGAGUGGAAUUCCGAGUGUAGAGGUGAAAUUCGUAGAUAUUCGGAAGAACACCAGUGGCGAAGGCGACUCACUGGACACGUAUUGACGCUGAGGCGCGAAAGCUAGGGGAGCAAACGGG